UGAGGAAUAUUGGUCAAUGGGCGAGAGCCUGAACCAGCCAUGUCGCGUGAAGGAAGAAUGUCCUAUGGAUUGUAAACUUCUUUUAUACAGGAAUAAAGUGUACUACGUGUAGUAUUUUGUAUGUACUGUAUGAAUAAGGAUCGGCUAACUCCGUGCCAGCAGCCGCGGUAAUACGGAGGAUCCGAGCGUUAUCCGGAUUUAUUGGGUUUAAAGGGUGCGUAGGCGGGCUGAUAAGUCAGUGGUGAAAGUUUGCAGCUUAACUGUAAAAUUGCCAUUGAAACUGUUAGUCUUGAGUACAGUAGAGGUAGGCGGAAUGUGUAGUGUAGCGGUGAAAUGCAUAGAUAUUACACAGAACACCAAUUGCGUAGGCAGCUUACUGGAGUGUCACUGACGCUGAGGCACGAUAGCGUGGGGAUCAAACAGG
rnacentral:rRNA from 1 species